UACAGAGGGGGCAAGCGUUGUUCGGAAUUACUGGGCGUAAAGGGCGCGUAGGCGGCCUGCUAAGUCGAACGUGAAAUCCCUGGGCUCAACCCAGGAACUGCGUCCGAUACUGGUUGGCUUGAAUCCGGGAGAGGGAUGUGGAAUUCCGGGUGUAGCGGUGAAAUGCGUAGAUAUCUGGAGGAAUACCGGUGGCGAAGGCGGCAUCCUGGACCGGCAUUGACGCUGAGGAGCGAAAGCCAGGGGAGCAAACGGG
rnacentral:rRNA from 1 species